rnacentral:rRNA from 1 species
AAAUGAGGUUUGUCUGCCCAGACAGCUAGGAUGUUGGCUUGGAAGCAGCCAUUCAUUUAAAGAGUGCGUAACAGCUCACUAGUCGAGCGGACGAGCAUGGAUAAUAAUCGGGCAUAAGUAUAGUACCGAAGCUAUGGAUUUACGUUUAGGCGUAAGUGGUAGGGGAGCAUUCUAAGGGGGUUGAAGGUGAUAUGUGAGUAUUGCUGGACUGCUUAGAAAAGAAAAUGUAGGCAUAAGUAACGAUAAUGCGGGCGAGAAACCCGCACACCGUAAGACUAAGGUUUCCUCAGCUAUGCUAAUCAGCUGAGGGUUAGUCGGGACCUAAGGCGAACCCGAAAGGGACAGUCGAUGGCCAACGGGUUAAUAUUCCCGUACUACUAAUUACUGUGAUGGGGUGACGGAGUGAUGAAAGCGCCGCGAACUGACGGAAUAGUUCGUUGAAGUACCUACCUAUAAGACCCGCAGGCAAAUCCACGGGUUUUGGGGAAAUACGAUAGUACUCGGAGUCUUCGGACAAAGAGAUAGUGCGCCUAAGGGCUUCCAAGAAAAACCUCUAAACUUCAGGUAAUUAGUACCAGUACCGUAAACCGACACAGGUAGUUGAGGAGAGAAUCCUAAGGUGCUCGAGAGAUUCAUGGCUAAGGAAUUAGGCAAAAUAGACCCGUAACUUCGGGAGAAGGGUCGCCCUGAGUAAUCAGGGCCGCAGUGAAGAGGUCCAGGCGACUGUUUAUCAAAAACACAGGGCUCUGCAAAAUCGUAAGAUGAAGUAUAGGGCCUGACACCUGCCCGGUGCUGGAAGGUUAAGAGGAGAUGUUAUCUUCGGAGAAGCAUUGAAUUGAAGCCCCAGUAAACGGCGGCCGUAACAAUAACGGUCCUAAG